GGAAGAGAGAGAAAGAGAGAGAAGAGAGAGAAAGAGAGAGAGGAGAGAGAAAGAGAGAGAGAGAGAGCCACCGCCGGCCACCGGAUUUUGCCACUGUUCCGGCCGAGUUACUGUACACGCGCCGGACAGAAAGCUUGCCCACCUCAUUUCCGGCAAAACCUCCAAAUUUCACGGCGAACGGCCGCCGGACGCGCCCGGAUCGGACGUCCGAAGUUUGGCGGCGAUUUUUCCCCUCCACCGCCGGCCACCGCGAAUCGGCACUAUUCCGGCCGAUAUACAGUGCACGCGCCAUACACCCAGCAUCCUCUCCUCAAGUCCGGCCUACCCACCAAAAAUCACGGCCAUCGGACCACCGACGCGCCGGGAUCGGAGCGUUUUCCGGCGAGGGGUCGAAAAUCUUCAAACGGUGAUAUCUCCGCCGUCCGACCUCCGUUUUGCUCACCGUCGGUCCCGUUGGAUUGCUCUCCUCACGAUCUACAAAUCUGCAAAAUUUCACAGCAAACGGCCACCGUCGGAAAUUACUGUUCCGGCGACGGUUGCCGGUGACGUGGCGGCCCGCCGGAAAUUACUGUUCCGGCGAGUACCCCGAAAAUUCCGGCCAGCUCCAGUCCGCAGUGUUCGACCUCCUGAACCCAAAUCCGACUUCCGUUUCCACCAAUUCGCGACGGUUUGGGAGAAUUGCGGAGCCGAAACCCGAAAAGCUUCCCGACGAAAUUCAAACCCCAUCGGGUACGAUCAUCGGAAAUUAAGACCGGAUCUGUGAUUAGCAUCACUCGAGCUUCGAUUCGGAGCACCGGUGAGUCGUAGAAUUGAUCCCGUAGUGGAUCAUGGGUUAAUUGCGUGCUCCAGUAGCAUCCGAAAGUGUAAUAUACAACUUUGGAACUCUUCUGCUUGAUCUUCUGAGUGGAAAACAUAUUCCUCCUAGUCAUUGCUAGAUUUUGCUAGCUGUAGUAAAACAACUUGUGACUUCGGGCUUUGCUCCUGCUGACUCAUAAAAGGCACUGACAGCGAUAGACACGGCUGCCUCAGAAAUUCAAGAUGUUUCAAAUGAUAACAAUGAUGCAUUGCCUGCGGAUGAAGAACUUAAAGAUAAAAUCACAGAUAAACCUUCCAAGGUCCUGUAAAUUUCAUUUGUCUCCAUUUUGUUGAACCUAGUAGGAGGUCACUAUCUAUGGUUAUUUCAACUGUUUCAAUUCACAUCUUCGGCGAUGUACCUUCCUCACCUGCUGCUGGAGUUCUCCAGAUAUAGAAAUCAUGGGAAGUGUCACCGAAAUUUAAAAUGCAUACUAAUUAAGGUUUCAUGAAGACAUUAUAGUUAAGCUUGAUAUAUGGGUGUAAUGUAAGAUUUUUUUUAGGAUUUUUCGAUGGAAAAAUUAUUUUAGGAUAGUUGUUCAAGAAGUGUCAGUAUUUUAUAUUUUUAUUUU